rnacentral:rRNA from 1 species
UAGAGAGAGACAUGCGCGCAUAUCAAUAAGCGGAGGAAAAGAAACUAACAAGGAUUCCCCUAGUAACGGCGAGUGAAGCGGGAAGAGCUCAAAUUUGAAAUCUUAAAGGGUUUCCCUUUACGAAUUGUAGUUUAAAGAAGUGUUUUCUGUUGAGGUUUUGGUAAAAGUUCUUUGGAAUAGGACAUCAUAGAGGGUGAGAAUCCCGUAUUUGACCUUUACUUUCAACUUUGUGAUACACUUUCAAAGAGUCGGAUUGUUUGGGAAUGCAGUCCAAAAUGGGUGGUAAAUUUCAUCUAAAGCUAAAUAUUGGCGAGAGACCGAUAGCGAACAAGUACCGUGAGGGAAAGAUGAAAAGAACUUUGAAAAGAGAGUUAAACAGUACGUGAAAUUGUCAAAAGGGAAGCGUUUGACACCAGUGUUGUUUUUCUGAAAAUCAAUUAAAGAACUGUUUAUGCUAAGUUGUUUAGACUUUAUCAGCUAACUGUUUAGUUUUGAGCUUUUCUUUAAUGCACUUUUCAGUUAACAAGUCAACAUCAAUUUCUUUUGCUGUAAAAAAGCUUGAGGAAGGUGGCUUGAGAUUCGUCUUAAGUGUUUAUAGCCUCUUGCCUAUGCAGUCGGAGAGAUUGAGGUCUGCAGCGUAGAUCCUUCGGGGCUAAAUGCAUUUGUGCUAAGUUAUAGCAUUUUAUAGACAACUUGUUGACUAUGAUUUGUCUUGUAGCUUACUCGCUUAUGUUAUUUUACCUACGCUUAGGAUGUUGACGCAUGAGAUAUACGC